rnacentral:miRNA from 1 species
UGUCUCCUAAUGUCACCUGCAG